UACGUAGGGUGCGAGCGUUAAUCGGAAUUACUGGGCGUAAAGCGUGCGCAGGCGGUUCUGAAAGUCAGCUGUGAAAGCCCCGGGCUUAACCUGGGAAUUGCGGUUGAAACUACAGGGCUAGAAUCUGGCAGAGGGGGGUGGAAUUCCACGUGUAGCAGUGAAAUGCGUAGAGAUGUGGAGGAACACCGAUGGCGAAGGCAGCCCCCUGGGCUGAGAUUGACGCUCAUGCACGAAAGCGUGGGGAGCAAACAGG
rnacentral:rRNA from 1 species